GAUGAAGAACGCAGCGAAAUGCGAUAAGUAGUGUGAAUUGCAGAAUUCAGUGAAUCAUCGCAUCUUUGAACGCACAUUGCGCCCCUUGGUAUUCCAUGGGGCAUGCCUGUUCGAGCGUCAUUUGUACCUUCAAGCUUUGCUUGGUGUUGGGUGUUUGUCCAUUCUCUUGCAGAGGGACUCGCCUUAAAGUAAUUGGCAGCCAGUGUUUUGGUUUUGAAGCGCAGCACAAGUCGAGAUUCAACGCUAUACGCCAGCUUCCACAAGCCUUUUUCACUUUUGACCUCGGAUCAGGUAGGGAUACCCGCUGAACUUAAGCAUAUCAAUAAGCGGAGGA
rnacentral:misc_RNA from 1 species